rnacentral:rRNA from 1 species
UACAGAGGUCUCAAGCGUUGUUCGGAUUCAUUGGGCGUAAAGGGUGCGUAGGCGGCGCGGUAAGUCGGGUGUGAAAUCUCGGGGCUUAACUCCGAAACUGCAUUCGAUACUGCCGUGCUUGAGGACUGGAGAGGAGACUGGAAUUUACGGUGUAGCGGUGAAAUGCGUAGAUAUCGUAAGGAAGACCAGUGGCGAAGGCGGGUCUCUGGACAGUUCCUGACGCUGAGAAGCGAAAGCAUGGGGAGCGAACAGG